rnacentral:rRNA from 1 species
UUUGAUCCUGGCUCAGGAUGAACGCUGGCUGUGUGCCUAAUACAUGCAUGUCGAGCGAUGAUAGCAAUAUCAUAGCGGCGAAUGGGUGAGUAACACGUACUCAACGUACCUUUUAGAUUGGGAUAGCGGAUGGAAACAUCCGAUAAUACCGAAUACUUAUUAUUUUUGCAUGAAAGUAAUAUAAAAGGAAGCGU